GCCACAUCACGCUGAAAAACCGGUUCCCGUACGAUCAUCGAAGUUAAGCAAUGUUGAUCCUGGUCAGUACGAAGAUGGGUGAGCGCUUGGGAAUAUUAGGUGCUGUAU